GAUGAACGCUGGCGGCGUGCCUAAUACAUGCAAGUCGAGCGAACAGAUGAGGAGCUUGCUCCCCUGACGUUAGCGGCGGACGGGUGAGUAACACGUGGAUAACCUACCUAUAAGACUGGGAUAACUUUGGGAAACCGGAGCUAAUACCGGAUAAUAUAUUGAACCGCAUGGUUCAAUAGUGAAAGACGGUUUUGCUGUCACUUAUAGAUGGAUCCGCGCCGCAUUAGCUAGUUGGUAAGGUAACGGCUUACCAAGGCAACGAUGCGUAGCCGACCUGAGAGGGUGAUCGGCCACACUGGAACUGAGACACGGUCCAGACUCCUACGGGAGGCAGCAGUAGGGAAUCUUCCGCAAUGGGCGAAAGCCUGACGGAGCAACGCCGCGUGAGUGAUGAAGGUCUUCGGAUCGUAAAACUCUGUUAUUAGGGAAGAACAAAUGUGUAAGUAACUAUGCACGUCUUGACGGUACCUAAUCAGAAAGCCACGGCUAACUACGUG
rnacentral:rRNA from 1 species